CCCAGUGUGCCGACUGCCUGUGCCGACACUCGACAAGUGCACAGUCGUCUGCACACUGGCCA
rnacentral:pre_miRNA from 1 species